ACUCCUACGGGUGGCUGCAGUGGGGAAUAUUGGACAAUGGGGGCAACCCUGAUCCAGCAAUGCCGCGUGUGUGAAGAAGGCCUUAGGGUUGUAAAGCACUUUCGUUAGUGAAGAAAGGUUUAUGGCUAAUACCUAUGAAUUUGACAUUAGCUAAAGAAGAAGCACCGGCUAACUCCGUGCCAGCAGCCGCGGUAAUACGGAGGGUGCAAGCGUUAUUCGGAAUGACUGGGCGUAAAGCGCACGCAGGCGGUUAUUUAAGUCAGAUGUGAAAGCCCCGGGCUUAACCUGGGAAUUGCAUUUGAAACUGGGUAACUAGAGUAUGUCAGAGGAAGGCGGAAUUUCCAGUGUAGCAGUGAAAUGCGUAGAGAUUGGAAGGAACACCGAUGGCGAAGGCAGCCUUCUGGGGCAAUACUGACGCUCAUGUGCGAAAGCGUGGGUAGCAAACAGGAUUAGAUACCCUGGUAGUCCACGCCCUAAACGAUGUCAACUAGGUGUUGGGCACUUAAGUGCUCGGUACCGCAGCUAACGCAUUAAGUUGACCGCCUGGGGAGUACGGCCGCAAGGUUGAAACUCAAAGAAAUUGACGGGGACCCGCACAAGCGGUGGAGCAUGUGGUUUAAUUCGAUGCAACGCGAAGAACCUUACCAGGCCUUGACAUCCAGAGAACUAAGCAGAGAUGCUAUGGUGCCUUCGGGAACUCUGAGACAGGUGUUGCAUGGAUGUCGUCAGCUCGUG
rnacentral:rRNA from 1 species